CACUAGCUCAUUUCAAACCAGAAUUUCUAAGAGAACGCACGUCGCGUUUGUAUUCAUUUUAUCAUAGAAUUUUAGUAAACAAUACACAAUGGUGUCACUAAGCGAUCCCGCUGUGCAAUCGUACAUCCUGUACUCCGCUAUUCUGGCGCUGAAAGUGUUAGUGAUGGCUUUCUUGACUGCAAGACAACGUUACGCCAAGAAUGUGUUCGCUAACGAAGAGGACGCUAAAUCAUCAAAGGGUAAAGUAAAACUGGACGAUCCGGACGUUGAAAGAGUGAGACGGGCACAUCUGAAUGACCUUGAAAACAUACCGGCGUUCUGGAUAUUGGGGGCAUUGUACUUGACUACGUCACCGGAGGCCGCCUGGGCUGCGCUUCUCUUCAGGACGUACACUGUCUCUAGAAUCAUCCAUACUAUCGUGUACGCUGUGAAACCAUUGCCGCAACCGGCGCGCGCCAUUGCCUUCAUGAUCCCCGUCGUUGUCAAAUGGUACAUGGGUAUUGCAAUUGUAUCUAACUAUAUUAGUGCUCUGUAAUUUCAUAAGGCGUUUGCGUCAUUAUUGUAAAUGUAUAAUUUUUAACAAUUGUGCCGUUUUUUAAUAAAGUGUCUCUUUGUAAUUAAAA